rnacentral:rRNA from 1 species
UACCAGCACCCCGAGUGGUCGGGACGAUUAUUGGGCCUAAAGCAUCCGUGGCCGGUCCUACAAGUCUUCCGUUAAAUCCACCUGCUUAGCAGAUGGGCUGCGGAAGAUACUAUAGGGCUAGGAGGCGGGAGAGGCAAGCGGUACUCAGUGGGUAGGGGUAAAAUCCUCUGAUCCAUUGAAGACCACCAGUGGCGAAGGCGGCUUGCCAGAACGCGCUCGACGGUGAGGGAUGAAAGCUGGGGGAGCAAACCGG